rnacentral:lncRNA from 1 species
UACCUUGGAAAUAUCACAAUAUUCCACCAAAUUUUCUAGAAAACCCCUCUUUUCAACCAACUCUGGGGUGAUCAGUCCCUUUAGGCAAAUCUGGGCUACGUUUCUAGAAAUAUCACAUAACAACUGGAUGCAUUCACAACACUGCACCAAUACUUCUUCAUAUACACUAUAUCUCAACACAUGAAUAAUCUUAUUCAUAAAAAAAAUAAAAAUAACGAGUGAUACACAUUUAAACACAUAAGCACAAUAAAUUUUGAAUGGCG